rnacentral:rRNA from 1 species
UACGGAGGGUGCAAGCGUUGUUCGGAAUCACUGGGCGUAAAGGGCGCGUAGGCGGCUUGAUAAGUCAGAUGUGAAAGCCCACGGCUUAACUGUGGAAGUGCAUUUGAAGCUGUCAGGCUUGAGUACCAGAGGGGAAAGUGGAAUUCCCGGUGUAGAGGUGAAAUUCGUAGAUAUCGGGAGGAAUACCGGUGGCGAAGGCGACUUUCUGGCUGGAUACUGACGCUGAGGCGCGAAAGCGUGGGGAGCAAACAGGAUUAGAUAACCUGGUAGUCCACGCCGUAAACGAUGUGAACUAGAUGCAGGUGGUGUUGAUCCCAUCUGUGUCGCAGCUAACGCAUUAAGUUCACCGCCUGGGGAGUACGGUCGCAAGAUUAAA